CGGGGUAGUACUGAAGCUAAUAGCUACAUCCAGUAUGAUGAUGUUAUGCUGUUAUAGUUUGUAUUCUCCAGACUCCUGUCAUAGUUUCCACUAAGCAAGUGUCUCUGACCUUUCCCAAAAUGGCAUGCCAGGUAUUCCUAACAUUCCUUGGCGAAGGUUGGUGAAAACUCUGUCAAGGCUCCCCUAUAAACAAGCAACUAUCCAUGUCACCGCGAAACACUGUGGAAGGCAGCCUGCAUUGCAAACAUUCUGGAGGUUCUACAGUAUACACCAGGAUUCCAUUAGACUCCUGCAUUACAAACAUUCUGGAGGUUCUACAGUAUACACCAGGAUUCCAUUGGACUCCUGCAUUACAAACAUUCUGGAGGUUCUACAGUAUACACCAGGAUUCCAUUAGACUACACCAGGAUUCCAUUAGACUCCUGCAUUACAAACAUUAUGGAGGUUCUACAGUAUACACCAGGAUUCCAUUAGACUACACCAGGAUUCCAUUA
ensembl:lncRNA